AUGAUAAGCUUGAUAGGCUUAUAACUUAGUAAAAUAGCCCUUUGUGUGACAUAAUUUUGGAACAGAGAACAUUUACAAAGGGAGGAUUCAUCUGAGUCUGGGUUGCUGCUAGGAAGACUUUCUGGAGGAGUGGAAAGUCAGAGUCCGCUCCCAGGAAGACUGCUGCUGACCAGAGGCGAGCCGACCACUGGGAGCUGGCAGCUCUGCUCUGUCUGCUGAAAAAGAGAACCAUCUCCAAGUUGAGGAGGCAAGAACAGUGGAGUAAGUUGCCAUUUCCUCCUCCAUGGGGAUCCUCCCGACCCAGGAAUCUAAGCCACGUCUCCUGCAUUGGCGAGUGGAUUCUUUAUCACUGGAACUACCCAGGAAGCCCUGAAGAACCAUGGAAGAAGGAGACAUGGGUUCAGUGCCUGGUCGGGGAAGAUCCCACAUGCCGUGGAACAACUGAGCCCAUGCACCACAACUACUGAGCCUGUGCUAUGGAGCCCAGGGGCUGCAGCAGCUGAGCCCGUGUGCUGCAACUACUGAAGCCUGCACCCUACAGCCAGUUCUCUGCAACAAGGGAAGCCACCACAAUGAGAAGUCCACCCACGGCAACUAGAGAGUAACCCCCACUCGCCACACCUGAGUAAAGCCUGAGGAUCAACGAAGACCCAGCACAGCCAAAAAUAAGUAAAAUUAUUUCUUUCAAACGGGUGUGGAAAUACUUUUGUGCAAGUUUUAUACACAGGGAAGGUGAUACAGUCAUUGCCAUAUGACUUUGCCCACAUCAGCAAGGACUUGCCAGAAGCUGACUGCUUUUAUGGUCCUGAUGAUUUGUCUAGGUGUGUGGUAUUAUGGGCACUGGGACUGAAAAUAUGAGCCAGGGCAUCUUUUGGGGUAGGGAGGAGAGCAGAAGGCAAGAAGGAGACUUUGGAGAAACCCAGAAUUCAGAGGAAUAUCAUUUGGUUUGCAAAUGCUUUGUUUGAGAUCCCAGAGCUCUUCCUGCUAGUCUCUACGUUAAAUCUCACUAUUGUGGGGUGGGGAUCUGAAGUCCGCCCAGCAGCCUGAAUUCAGGAUGAGGGAAAUAAGCAGAUCUAGCUGAUUCAGACUGGUUGGGAUGGCCAGAAUGAAGCUUGUUCUGGCGUUUACUUCCCCUGCUGCAUCUCUCAAGCUUGCAAACCAGAGAUGUUGGCUCCUUUAAUCAGGAAACAGGACCACAGAUGGGGACAGUGUGGGGAGCAGAUUCUGCACUGGAACUGAGUUCCAAGGGCUUUAUCACCUCAGUCCUCACUCUGGAAGUUAGGGAUUACUGCCCGUAUUCCACAGUGGAAGAGACAGUCUCAGAAUGGGAAUCAUUUACUCAAGAAUAUCUUUUAACAUUCUAGGCCCCAUGGUGCCAAUUCUUCUUUAAGUGCUCUCAUAUACAGUGUCUUAAGAGAUGCACAAAGGUGUUAUGAGAUGAACAGAGGCAGAUCCUAGUAUUCCCAUAUUAUAGGUGAGGAAGCUGAGACUCAAAAAGAAAAACUAACGGACUAAGGCAAGAAGUCCCGUUUCUCCAUUCUCUGCCCCCUGGAGGUCCUAGAGCCUAAUGAAGACAAAAACUACUCUGGCUUGCAGAAUACCAGGAAGCUUUGGGGACCUUAUAAUAUCCGCAGACAUCUUAGAGUCAUAAUCAUUGGAGCUAACAUUUAUGGAGGGAUUUCUGUGGCCAGGCACUGUGCCAAGCACCUGUGUAACACCUCACCCAACUCUGGGAUGGAUGCCAACCCGAUAUUACAGGGCAUGAAACAGCAGAGAGGUUCAACAACUUGUCAGGUCACAAAGCCUGGGGCUGGGAAAUGAACUGAGGCUCUGUGGCUCCAGGGCUCACCCUUGCUCUAAAACAUCUUGCCAUUCUGCCUCCUCAGGGAAAGUGAUCAGGGUAAGGAUUGCAAGCUGAAGUGGAUUUUAAGCAGCUGCUGACAGCCGAUGGGCCCGCCCACUCUAGGGAGAAGCGUUCUCUCACCCUAAUUUCAUUUGAGUGACCCCCUUUUUAAGACAUGCUAACCCUGAAGUAUAGAACCAAAAACCACCCAAAGGUAGUCUCCUUAAGCCCAGAGGAACUUCGAAAUGCAGAAG
ensembl:lncRNA